rnacentral:lncRNA from 1 species
AUGGAUUCCUAAGACCUCCUUAGGAAAGCUGUCAUGAAGGAUCAGAGACGACGUACAAAUUGAUUGAGAGUCUCCCAGAGCCCAGGAAUGGAAGGAUUCUUACACAAACCCCAUCCCACCCAGCGUUGCCAGAGUACACAUGCUGGCGUGCCCUGGAAAGCGCAAGGCGAGUGGGAGCAUCUGGAGCAUGAGCUUAGAACGAGACCCCUUGGGUUGUUAGAAAAUGGCAAACAAGCCGCAAACAAGCUGGACUUGGAGGAAAUCGCCAGCUUCGAUAAGGCCAAGCUGAAGAAAACUGAGACGCAGGAGAACACCCUGCUGACCAAAGAGACCAUUGAACAGAAAAAGAGGAGUGAAAUUUCCUAAAAGGCUAGACUGGAGGAUUUUUCCACCCCACCCCAUCCUGUCACCUCUGAGACACUCUCUUGAUGUGGAGGAAGAACCACUUGCAAGAUGGACAUGAGUCACAAGCCCUCGGGUCUCUGAAGGGGGAUUCCCCCCCCCCAAUAAUUGGACUGCCAAAUUCCACUGGUUUGCCCUGGGAUAUUAUAGAAAAUUAUUUGUAUGAUUGAUGAAAAUAAAACAUACCUCGUGGCAGAAAAAAAAAAAACA